rnacentral:lncRNA from 1 species
AGAUUAACCAUAAAGGAUUCAAAGUAGAAGCAGGAGGUGACCUAGCCACACGGCAGCCCAUCCACAUGUUGGAAGAAAACCGAAGUAAAAAGAUAUUUCUCGGCUCAGGAUUCUUGGAAAAUCUCUAGAAACAGAAAGUAGAUUAACCUCAUAGUCUUGCUGGUUUAGCAGAAAUUUUCAGAAGU